CUUCCUGGUUCCACUUUGACUUGAAGUCUAGGCCACAGAUACACCCCGAUCCACUAGCUCUACACCCCGGGAAACUUCUCGAACUUUCGGGAAGAGGAAGUUACCUGAUCACCUGAUACUUCCAAGCAACCAGGUGUUUCUUUCAGAAGCCAGAAGCUGAUAACCUGGGCUCAUUGAUCUCACCCACAGCCCAUGUUCUGUGUAGUGGAAGACUCAGGGCGGAGAUUCUUUCCACCAAGAGAUGCCACACUAUCUUGUCUCCACAGAAGCAACCUGCCUAGAGCAGGAGGUAACCUUGAGAGAGAGCUCCAUCUUACAGCGGAUAACAAAGGCCCAGGGAAGUGAAGGCACGAGGGGGACGGCCCCAAGGCUGCCUCCGUCAUUGCCAUCCUCCCAUCUCUGACACUCAGAAGCCUCCAUGGAAACUGCCUCUGUGUCCAUGGCCUGUGUUUUGCUAGUGAGACGGGAGACACAAAAGAAUUGGAGAGAUUGCCUCUGACCUUAAGAAACUUACUAACAAUCCAGGGAGAUAGGGUUAAUGUAUAAAAUACUGAAAACAGCUAAAGGUGACCGGAACAUGGGAGGCAUUCUCUCCAAGAUUGAGGUUUGCUAACCUCUGAAUUGAAGUUUGGUUUCAUUGUUCAAGG